AAGUCGUAACAAGGUUUCCGUAGGUGAACCUGCGGAAGGAUCAUUAACGAAUAACUAUGGUGUCUUGGUUGUAGCUGGCUCCUCGGAGCAAUGUGCACGCCCGCCAUUUUUAUCUUUCCACCUGUGCACCGACUGUAGGUCUGGAUGACUCUCGCACUCCGGUGCGGAUGCAAGGAUUGCUCUCGGGCUCUCCUCGAAUUUCCAGGCUCUACGUCUUUUUACACACCCCAAACGUAUGAUACAGAAUGUAGUCAAUGGGCUUGAUCGCCUAUAAAACACUAUACAACUUUCAGCAACGGAUCUCUUGGCUCUC
rnacentral:misc_RNA from 1 species